GAGAAACGCAGACCCACAACAAGACUAAAAUCUAGAGUUGCGUUUUCUUCUGCUUUCCCUUUUGGAAUCCUCCCGCCCAAUUCCCAUAAAGUGUAUUGUUUCAAAACUGAUUUUAAUUUGGGGUUUGUUUGCUUUUCGCCCUGCCACGGCCCUGUCUUUGUUGAUCGAAAGCAUUCCUCCGGUGGCCACAAAUAUUUUCCACGGGACGCUUGGGAGAGGAGAAAAGGUCACACUUCAAUGGUCUCCUUAUACAACAAUCCACGGCCAUGGAAAAGGAUCCUUGCCCUUGUUGUUGUACCAACACCCGCAAUCCUCCGCCAACUCAGCAAUCUUCCUUCUCGCUGAAACUCUGGAUGCACACAACGGACCGAUUGUAGAAAGCGGCUGUGUGACUUCGUGUGUUAUCUUCCCAGCUGUUUUUGUUAAGUUUUGCUUUUUGCCUUUUUUUUCCAGAUUAGUUUUCGCUACAAUUUGUGGCCGAGUGUCUUUUUUUUUCUUUCUCCCUCCCUAAAAAAAAUAUAUGAAAAAAAUCAAAUAAAAAUAAAAUUCUGCUGGGAACAAA